AGCAGUAGCCGCGGGAAAACGGAGGGUGCAAGCGUUACUCGGAAUCACUGGGCGUAAAGGACGCGUAGGCGGAUUAUCAAGUCUCUUGUGAAAUCCAACGGCUUAACCGUUAAACUGCUUGGGAAACUGAUAAUCUAGAGUAAGGGAGAGGCAGAUGGAAUUCUUGGUGUAGGGGUAAAAUCCGUAGAUAUCAAGAAGAAUACCUAUUGCGAAGGCGAUCUGCUGGAACUUAACUGACGCUAAUGCGUGAAAGCGUGGGGAGCAAACAGGAUUAGAUACCCGGGUAGUCCCUGUCUCUUAUAC
rnacentral:rRNA from 1 species